GACCAAAAAUCAGAAAGCUACAGUACAUAUAGAAAAAAAAACUCAUACAUAACAUCUUAUUAAUCAUGUUUAUACAUUUGACACAAAUGACAAGUUCAUUUUUUUUAUAGUUAAAACAUAACAAGUUGAGAGGAAAACACACAAGUGUGGUGCAGACAUCUUCAAGCAAUAGGCUUCAAUACAUACAUCUUGCAUGCAUGAGAGUUCACUGUAGCUGUCAAAUUCCCUACAAAUUUUGUCUCCAAUGUCUUGUGCUCCCAAAGGUCUCUUGCUAUUACAACGCUGUUAGGAGGGAUUCCGAUAUCAUCCCAGUUUGCUGUUAUUUCGUAUCUCUGAGGACCGCGGUUGAGAAGCACUAAAGCUACUCUAUAGCCUGAUAGAGGUCCUGCCCAGAUCUCAAGAUCACCUUCCAUUCUAACCUUUUUGCCCUGGACACCUAACUCAUCUUGAUCUACCGCGAUCACCUCCUUGUUGGCUAGAAUCUCCAUUGUAUCAUGUGAUAAAUUUCUCACAUCACAACCAAUGAUAAGGGGAGCCUUUGAAAUCGCCCAGAUACUAAAGUGAAUGAUGUAUUCAUCCUUUGUCAUCCCUCCAUUUCCAACCUCAAGCAUGUCGGGAUCAUUCCAGCCACCAGGCCUUGCAUAAUCUGCAUAAACUUCAUUCUGGUCUGCUCUAGAAAUCAUGCUUUCCCAUGUAUCACUGAUAUCGUUCGUAGUUCUCCAGCUGUUACCUAAUUUACCACCCCACAAUGCUGGAUGCAAAUCGCCCCAUUCACAAAGAUUAAAGAAGAUAGGCCUUCCAACUUUCAUUAGAGCUCUCGUCAUAACAGGGUAUCUAACAGUUGGCUUUGUUCCAUCGUGGUUGCAGUUAUCGUACUUCAAAUAAUCAAUACCCCAUGCUGCAAAAGUUGUUGCAUCUUGUUCCUCAUGACCAAGUGAACCAGGCAUUUUCUUGCUACAAGUAUAAUACCCCGCAUCCGAGUAGAUUCCCAGCUUAAGACCUUUACUAUGAACAUAGUCAGCUAAAGCUUUCAUUCCAGAAGGAAAUGUCGAGUUCUUAGCAGCAAAAUUUCCCUGAUCAUCGCGUUGAGGUUCAGCCCAGCAAUCAUCUAUGUUAACAUACUUAUAUCCGAGCUUAUCAAGACCAGUUGAAACCAACGCAUCGGCAGUUUCUCUUAUGACUUUCUCAUCAAUGUUGCAGGCAAAAUGAUUCCAACUACUCCACCCCAUAGGAGGAGUGGAGCCGAGUCCAUUAUUGAGCAAACUACGUCGUUUUACAAAUAAAUCCUCUUUCACUUUUCGCUGCUUCCGUUCCGGCCACCGCAUUUCCGCCGUCGUCCGGUGGGAGUAACCGCCAUACUCGGCGGAUAUCAGUAGACAUAAUGCAAGUAUCAGCUUAAUCCCUAAUCUUAACUCCAUUAGCUGAAUUUUGAUCCUAAUUUGUUGAAAUCUACACUUUUUUUUGUGAUUUUUUUUGGUGUUUCAGUGUACUGGUUUUUAUAAGAGCUGUUGACUACAGACUAACUCAUCCAUUGAAGGAGACAAUGAUGAUACAAUCCACGUUUUUA
rnacentral:misc_RNA from 1 species